rnacentral:lncRNA from 1 species
GAUAUUAUUAUUAAAUUUAUUAUUAAAUUUUUAUCGUUGAAUAAAAUUUUAUAAUAUUAAAUAAGAUGAUAAUACCAUCUAAUUCACGUCAGGUCCGAAUUCCCUACAAGUCUGGCUAAAAGGAAUUUUCUAGUACAAUUAAAGCCGCUGUUAACGAGAGCUGGGGGACGGAUAGUUUACGUCAGGAGAAAAUGACAAGACACCUCCACCGACAUGAACCAAUACACUAUUUCCACAU